AUGAAGCCCACCCUCAUCUCAGUGCUUGUGAUAAUAUUUAUACUCAGAGGAACAAGAGCCCAGAGAGUGACUCAGCCCGAGAAGCUCCUCUCUGUCUUUAAAGGGGCCCCAGUGGAGCUGAAGUGCAACUAUUCCUAUUCUGGGAGUCCUGAACUCUUCUGGUAUGUCCAGUACUCCAGACAACGCCUCCAGUUACUCUUGAGACACAUCUCUAGAGAGAGCAUCAAAGGCUUCACUGCUGACCUUAACAAAGGCGAGACAUCUUUCCACCUGAAGAAACCAUUUGCUCAAGAGGAAGACUCAGCCAUGUAUUACUGUGCUCUAAGUGG